UAGACCUAACUGUGAUUGCACACGGACUGGCAAGAUUGAGACCUGACAAGUCAGCCUAGGUGACCCAGUGGCCUUGGAUCCAGAAAGAAUGUAGAGGUCUCCCUACGUGUUUGACUGCAUUGCCCUUUGGACUUGCUGAUCUGCCACUGUCCUAGUUACCUGGAGGCAGGCAAUUCUACUUUAGAUUUGCCCAACGGUUGGUUAUACUUUCUGGCUUGCUAAUGACACUUAUCCUCUCUGUGGGACUCAGACUAUCUCACCUCCCUCUGAGAUGCCAAGAUGUCCUUGGAGACCUAAAUACUGAACUUUGCCAAAUCCAUGACAGAGCAUACAGGAGCAGCUGCCCUCUUCUGUUCUUGAGGUGGCUGGCCACAUGCCCAGAACUGCCUUGGGAGCCACAGUGCUGGACCACAAAUGAUUUCUACUACAUGGUCAGUGCAUGGGGAACAAUACAGGAGUGUGAGAAGAAAGGACGGAUUACCAUAGCCCCAGAAACCCAGUCCACUAGCAAACACCAAACAUGAAUCAGCAGCUGAAGUCCAGACACCACACACAAAUCAGUAAGGGCAGUUCAAUCCAGAAGAAACCUCAGGGCUUGCCAAUUGGCCCGAGUCCUCCAUAGAAGUGCUAAGAAGCUGCAGGGACCUCACAAAAUGUUCUCUGGUGAGUUUCUCUCAAUGAAGUCAACACGAGCAAAGCCCAGCAAUGCAAUGUAACAUGAAUCGAUACAUGCAUGUCAUUAGUGAAGACUACUUAGCAGAGCAAGACAAACCAAUGGUGGAGUUCCUACUGUCUGCGGGGCUGUAUUUAUAUUCCUCCUAAAUACUAUGUGUCCUUCUAUAUGUUUGCCAUAACAAAACAUCCUUUCGCCUGUGUCUGCUUCAGCCAAACAUACUUCACAUGUUUGGUUUAGGAAAACAUCCUUUUGCCUGUGUGCUCAGCGAAAUGGUAUUUGGCAUAACUGACAUUAGACACUGGAAGUUUCCACUUCAAUGAGGAAGGUCUCUGUGGGAACAGAGUCAGUGGGAGAUCUGUAUCUCCCAUAUCUUUCUCCAUGUGCCUGUAAUCUAAAAGUUCUCCAAAAAUAUAGCCCUGAAUGCAGCACUCUAUUUCUGCAAGGCAGCCCAAAGUUUCUAAGUACUCUAUAUGUUUAUUUGAUAUGUAUUCUUUUGGAAUAUUUGACUAUUGUGCUCUCUCUCUCUCUCUCUCUCUCUCUCUCUCUCUCUCUUCUUUAUUUCUCCUCCUGUCCCUCCCUUCUUCUGUCCUGCCUUCCCUCUGUCCCUUCCCUCCCUCCCUCUCUCUUUCUUUCUUUCUUUCUUUCUUUCUUUCUUUCUUUCUUUCUUUCUUUUGUUCGUUCAUUCGUUCAUUCAUUCUUUCUUUCUCUUUUAUUUUGGUCUUUUUCUCUGUGAAGUAAGAACAAAACAUUCUGUUGGACUUUUCCAACUUUGCAAGGAAGGGGAUGAAGUAUGGCAGCCUGGCAGCCAUUUUUGACAAACUUUAACAAAGCGCAACACUCUUGUCCCUGUUCUCUAGAUGCAACAACACACAGCCCUAGAACAUGUGUGCUGAAUGAAUGUCAAACUCUAGAACUUUCUGUGAUCCAUUAGCAAAAAAGUGGGUUCAAGCACCAGUAAUCUAGCCUGUGCUGGUUAGCUUUAUGUCAACCUGACACAAGUUAUAGUCAUCUUAGUGGAGGAAACUUUAAUUAAGAAAAUGUCUCCAUAAGAUCAGGCUAUAGACAGAUCUAUAAGGCAUUUUCUUAAUUAAUGAUCAAUGUGGGAGGGCCUAGCUCACUGUGGGUGGUGCCAUCCCUAGACUGGUGAUCCUGGGAUCUAUAAGAAAGCAGGCUGAGAAAGCCAGUCAGCAGCACCUCCAUGGCCUCUACAUCAACUCCUGCCUCCAGGAUCCUGCCCUGUUUGAGUUCCCAUCCUGACUUCCUUUGAUGAUAAACUGUGAUGUUGAAGUAUAACCAGAAUAAACCCUUUCUCUCCUAACUUUGAUUUAGGUCGUGGUGUUUCAUCACAGCAAUAGAAACCCUAAUAAGAUAAGGCUGUGUUAACAUAAGUACAUUGAUCUAUCAGGGAUAAUAAAUAGUAAUGCUCUAGGUGGACUCUCAGUAGAAUACAUGGACUGUUGCUCCCAUUAUCUUUUCUUCUAGCCCUUGGUGUUUUCGUGUGCAUGCCAGAUGCCUCUGGACAGGGGUGGGUCUCAUAUUGUUUUGUAUAUUAUUCCUGUAUUUUAUAGCAUUGCCCAUUGUGCUGACUUUGGUCACUUGCUGAGGUCUCCCCCCACCAUCUCCCUUUCCUAAUGCUAAUGUGUCACCCUAGAUCCACUGUUCUUACUAAGUGGGUCUCCCCUCCCCUCAACUGAUUAUUACAGUAACCCCAACCAAACUAGUUUAAAAGCAAGACCAGGAAUGUACCUGGGGCAUCUGUGGUUAUAACUGCAAAUGGAGCCAGUGCUCAUAAAUGUCAUCAGGAUGCUGUCUGUCUCCACUCAGAAGCACUUUCUCUCAUGAAGCAAUGGCUGUCAUAGAUGACAGCUGGCAACUUCCGUCUUUUUAACGUUAGCCUUCUCAGAGAUAAAAAACUGUCCCUUGAAAGCUAAUCACUUCAGAAACAUUCUCCCAUGGAUUCUCACUAGUAGGGUGUGUGUCAAGCACCCCACCCUCAGUGAUAUUUUUUCAUUUUAAAGUAUAUUUUGACUGGGCCAAAAAAAAAAGUUGUCGCUGUCACAGUGAGUGAGUUUAGAUCUACUGGCUUACAGUGAGUAAAUUCUUCUCAGGAAAGUGGAUAUGAGAGAACACAAACUUGUGUCCACUGCCAUGCACCCCUCUCAUGGUCUUCUCUGAGGCGGUGAAGUGUUGAGAGAGGUACUCUGCCACCAACAUAAAAUGGAGACUUUCUCCCACACAACUAUCACUUUAUACUAGUAGUCAUGAAUGUGGAAAAAAAAAUCCUAGUGCUGUGGAUGUUACAACUCUCUUUUCCUAGUUUAUCUCUAAAGCCCUCUGACAUGUAGAGUUCAAAGCCACUGGAGAAUCUGGGGACUGUACAUACCCUUGGCUAAUGCUCAAGAGUGUCAUCUUGUGUGAUGCUUGGAUUCUGAGUUUCUGAACAUGGAGGUUGUUUCUCUCAUCCUGAAUUCCUUCUCCCAGGUUAAAUAUCUGGGGAUGUCCCAGUGACUGAGAAACUCAGCUGGGAGUCAGUAUCAGUGUAUGGAGUCCAUUCAUUGAUGAUGUGUGCAGCUCCGUAGAGUUCUCUCUAGUUACCAGCUAGACCAAUCUCUGCCUUCUCUUCAUAUGCUGCCUGCUCAGCUGGUCUUUCCAAGCUAGACCCAAAAAUUAUGCCAAGUCGAACUCACCUUCUAGACUCAUAUAAGUCCUGUGCUGAUUUAUACCUGAAAUUACCCUAUGUACUUGUUAAUAUUUCCCACUACAGAAUAAGUAGGAGGUUUGCAGGCAACUUAUCCCCCAUUCUCUGUUUUACCCUAGAAUGUUGCUUGGAUUAUGCUAGGUAUGCAGUAACUAUUUGGCAUGCCAAGAAACAGAUGAACAGACAAGGAACAGACAAACAAAAUUAUAGUAGGUGUAGAUCUUAAGCUGUAAAUCUGGGACCUUUGUUACAAACUUAAACACAUGUUCUGUUAAAAAAAAAUUGUGAGUGGCAACAAACUUGGUGCAUGAAUAAACAUGCUUUCCAAAGGCCUCAGACCACAGCCUGAAUUCUUUUCACGUUAUGAGCCUUGCGUCUCUUCAUCUCCUUCUGCUUCACAUAUUGGUUCAAAGUUUCUCUCCCUGGCAUGGGAGCUAGGCCGAUAAGAUUAUCGGUAAUGUUGUUUCACCAAGCAAAAGCCAAAUGAAAUGCAUAAAUUGAGUUGUUUAGAAUAUUGACAUUAGCUCAAAAUAAGUUCAUCGACCAGUCUUGGACCAAGCCAGAGUUGAGACACUCCGUCUUCUGCUUUGUACCUGGGAGGAUGCUCUUCCAGUCUUCUAGUCUUUGUGUUUUGUUUUGUUUUGUUUUGUUUUGUUUUGUUUUGUAUCAAAAACAAAACCAAAAACAAAAAAAAAAAUCAAAUCACCAGGAAUCGAGUUUGCUGUCUUUAAGAAGACUUAUUUUUAGAUUUGAACCUUUUCCUGAAGCCUAGCUCAAGGUCAUGACAUCCACAAACAAGAGCAAAUAAAAUCAAAGAGGCUGGUUUCAUCAUUUCAUCCCUCGCCAGCUGUAUCUGGUUCCUCUGGUUUUUUUUUUUUUCUCGGUGUCUGGAGGCUGCGGGCAGGACAGAGCCACGCAGAACCAGUAGCCCUGCCUGCUCAUGAGGUUCUGCUACCCGUCAAGUGCACUGGGAAUUCCUUUCUGCCUGACUGAAAUGUCUAGUCUAUAAAACUGGUUAGUAAAACAUACUGUAAUUUGGGAUUUGGUAAAACAGGCUUCAUUUUGACAGAACCCAGGCUGACCUACAGCAUUAUGUCAUGAACAGAUGUGAAUUUUAGAGGGGUGAAAUGAUUAAAAACUUGUUCAGAGAGAAGGCAACGUAGUCGUAAGACGUCUUCAUGCUUCCACAGUCUAGGCAUGUAAGCUGGUUUGGCUCUGUUCAGUCCAAGCAUCAAGUACACCCCAAAAGCCAGGCAAAGAGCCUCAUCUCUCCUGAUGUGUGAGGGGGUCUAGUAACUGCGCAGACUGAAAGCAUUUAAAGAGCUUUACAUGUAAUUAAGACACCCAGGAAUGCAUGGCACUUAAAUAAAUGAGAAUUCCAAUAGGUUAAAAAAAUACCGCAAGUCAAUCGAGGUACUCAAUCCUCAACUUUUACACAAAGGACAGGAAAAAUAGCAUCAUAGCUAUGGUUUGAUUGGGACAGAAUCAAUACAUCAGCUGUAGAGUUAUGAUGAAUGCUGUCAAGGAAAUGACUGCGUGAAAGUACUUUCCCAGCUCUAAAGAACUAGAAAAAUAAUGCCUGUAGUUUGCAUUAGUAGGUAUGAGCAGGGCAAAAUAAUGCCAAGUGACUAUGUUUAUUGGCAGAGUGUUUUGCAAAGGCCAUGUAAUGCUUGGUAUUUUUGAUAAUUCUUCAAUUGACAAUCACAACUGAGUCUCACUUUAGACUUACAUUGAUCAGUCACUUAAAAAGCCAAUUAAUAUUUUAUAUAAGAAUAUAGGAUGAAUAGACAGGUUAAAAUAUAUACACACAUACAUGUAUAAACACAUAUAUUUGUAUAGAAAGAUAAAUGUAAAUAUAUAGUCUAUGGUAUAAUUUUGGGUAGCAAACUAAAGAUAUAUACAUAAGCAUAAAGAUAUACUAUGUAUACUUGCACAUAUAAAUGUAAAAUAGAUUUUUAUGAUUUGCUUUUAGGUGUAUGCUACAUAUUAUUGGGUAACUUUAGUAAACUCAAAGCUAAAAUGUAUUUAGGUAGAGUUCUUUCAAAAUAGAUUUUACUUUCUUACUGGAUAAGUAAAACCCAUGCCGGAUAGACAAGGAACCAAAGCGAUGCCAUCAGUUUAUUUAUUUGUUUAUUUGAAGCACUUGUAAACAGAUGUUUACAAUAGUCCCUAUUAAAGCAAUGUCACUAAGGUGAUAUCUACCUUCAACCUUGAAAAUCAUCCUAGAGAGCAAAUAAAAGUUAAUGUAUCCUAUUUUGAAAAAUUAUAGCUUCAUUAAUUACAGAAAUUCUUUGAACUAAUGCAUAGGUAAAUGAUGUUAUUCAGCCUAUAGUCAAUUAUUGGGGUACUGAGAAUGAGACAGAUGUUAGCUGUGCCCUGGUGGAACUUGUAUGCCAAUUAAUGAAAAAAAAAAUUAAAUGGCCCCUUUCCAGGGUCCAGUUGCUGUCAACUCAUCAACUCAGGUGAGACAGUCAGAAAAGGAGGAUUUCCAAGGAGAAUGGGGGCUUCAUAACAUAACAAGCAGCUUAAAGAUAUGGUGUUUGAAAGGCCACCCAGACCCUGCCCCACCUGCGCCGGAUCCAGCCUGAUAAAGCUGUCUCCUGAGAGGCUCUGCCAGAGCAUGACAAAUACAGAGGUAAAUGCUCGCAGCCAACCAUUGAACUGAGAAUGGGGUCCCCAAUGGAGGAGUUAGAGAAAGGUUUGAAGGAGCUGAAGGUAUUUGCAAUCUUAUAAGAACAACAAUAGGAACCAACCAGAGCUCCCAGGAAUUAAACUACUACCCAAAGAGUAUACAUGGACAGACCCAUGGCUCUAGCUGCAUAUGUAGCAGAGGAUGGCCUUGCUGGGCACUAAUGGGAGGAGAAGCCCUUGGUCCUGCCAAGGUUUAACCCUCCAGUGUAGGGGAAUGUCAGGGCAGGGAGGCAGGAAGGGGUAGGUAGAUGGGUGAGGGAACACCCUCAUAGAAGAAGUGGGAAGGGGAUGAGAUGGGGGGAUAAUGGAUGGGAAACAGGG